GAAAAUCAAAGCAAACACAAAAUACAAAACAAUAUAUACAUUUCCUAAAUACUAAAUACAAAUAUACACUUAUUAAAUAACAAUAUACACUUCCUAAAUACAAAUAUACACUUCCUAACAACACCACAACAUUGCAAUUAACCGGAAAAUAAAAACAAACACAAAAUAAAACUAAAGCUCAAAAACGUACUCGAGGAGGAAGAGGGAGGACCAGAGCAGCAGCAGGAGGAGGCCGGAGUAGCAGGAGGAGGAGGCCGGAGCAGGAGGAGGCCGGCCGGCCGGAGCAGGAGGAGGAGGCCGGGCAGAGAGGGAGAGGGAGCGGAGGCCGAGACCGGGAGAGGGAGAGGGAGAGGAGGCGGAGACCGGGAGAGUGAGAGGGAGAGGGCGGCGACCGAACGACCGAGGGAGCGGAGGCGGAGGAGGGGAAAUUCGGAGAGGGAGAGGAAAAGGAGGCUAGGGUUUACAACCAGUCGAGCGCUGGGUUAUACCCGAACAAUUAUUUCGUCGGCUAAAGGUAAUAAUUUCGUCGGCUAACCUAACACUUUAGCCGACGAAAUAAUUAUUUCGUCGGCUAAAGAUAAUAAUCUCGUCGGCUAAGAUAAAAUUCGUCGGCUAAACCUUUAAAAUUCGUCCGCUAAACCUAUGAAAUUCGUCCGCUAAACACAAAAUUCGUCGGCUUUAUAACUUUUUAUACAUUCGUCAAACUGUGACUGCUGCUCGUGAUAAUCAAACUUUAGAACGAAAAUCCGACCAUCAGAUCUGACCAUCAUGAUAAAAUACAUGUAUGGGAAAAAAUUCAACUUGAUCCGACAAGGUUAAGGGCUCGAUCCGGACGAUCAAUCGGUUAAGUCACACCCCUAAACGCACGGAAAAGGUCAUUGGACUGUCUAAAUUACGUAUUUUGGCCGGACCUUCAACUGAAAAUAGUUUCAAACCGAUGAGACGCAACAAGUCCUAUAAAAAUUUUAUGCAAAAUAACCACCGAAGAUAGGGCUACCCAUAGGGAGAAAGAAUGGAAAAUUGCAUUGACCGCAACUAUCGGCACCGAGACAUGACCGGAAUACAGUGAUUUUUCAACCGUAGACGUAUUUCACCAUUCUGGUCAUGUCUUAUUUCAAGACUUUUUUACGUUUGAAGGUUCUACGUAUAAUUUGUUUUUAAAACGGAACAUUUACUUAACACUUGGUAAACAAGUUAUACAACAUUAGUAAGCAUGUUGUGAUUGUGAUGAUCAAACUUGAGAAAAAGAAAUCCGACGGUCAGAUCUGACCAUCAUGAUAAAAUACAUGUAUGGGAAAAAAUUCAACUUGAUCUGACAAGGUUAAGUGCUCGAUCCGGACGGUCAAUCCCGUAAGUCAAACCCCUAAAUGCACGGAAAAGGUCGUUGGACCGUCUAAAUUUCGUAUUUUGGCCGGACCUUCAACUGAAAAUAUUUUCAAAUCGAUGAGACACAAUAAGUCGUAUAAAAAAUUUUACGCAAAAUAACCACCGAAGAUAGGGCUAUAGUAUGUAACAG
rnacentral:lncRNA from 1 species